rnacentral:lncRNA from 1 species
CGUCUAUUAUGUAAUUUUGUUCCUUGUAAGGCUCUUUUGUUGGAGAAAGGGUUGGCCAUCUCCCUGGACUGUAUCUGCUGUGGCGAGCUUGAAGAUAUGGAGCACGUCUUUUUUCAUUGUACACGUGCUAUCCAGGUCUGGCAGAUUGUUGGUGUCUCUGUGUCGUAGGCUACCAUCACUGGCUUUGUUGAACAUUAGUUGAUGAUGCACUUGGG